rnacentral:lncRNA from 1 species
UGCCCCCUCCAGCAGCCCUUUUGUGGACAGACUCCCUAUCGUUUCUCUGCUAUAGCUCUAAGUGUAAAAUUAUUUUAGUAUAAAAAGUUAAAAAAAAAAAAAUUCAGGAACCUUACUGGACCUGACCCUAGGAACAACCUCAUGCUUUUUGAUGCAACUUUAGAACCUUCUGUGAUCCAGCUUAGCUGGACAAAUAAAAUCUAUACCCAUUAAGCAAUCAGGACCUGUUCUAGAUCCACAUAGACUGUGGGCUCCCAUUGUGAUGGCAUCCAGCGCCCUGGGAUGAGAACGAGGCUUGCGGUCCGGGUGGCGAGUCUCACACGGCAGCCCAGAGGAGGCUCCUGUCCCUGCUCCCUGAGGCCAGGACACCUGCCUUCUAUGGCCCAUGAGUCAGCCACGGGGGUCGACGUGGAUUCAUCUUUUCCUCCCGUCUCUCCCAGGUGCCAAGGUGUGUGCAGAGGAGACCCAGCCCUUUGCAGGUGGUCCCAGGCUGACAGCUCCUCAGCAGCUGCAGGGGUGUAGUUAUUUUUAAACCCGUCCUUUAUUGAGCAACUUUUGUGUGCCGGCUCCACCCUGGGUGCUUUGCGAUGCUCGUUCAGGGGAUCUUUGUCACUCCCAGUAGCUCCAGGUCCUGGAGCUUCCUCUCCUCUGCUGCCAUCCCCCAACCAUCAUCAUCUCUUUCCUGGAAGAUGACAGUGGCUUCCAUGUUGGGCUCCAUGCCUCCGUACAGCAGCCAGCAGGUGCUCUCAGAGGUUGCACGUGCCUUUCAGGUGGCCUAUGCUGAGCCUUGGAGCGAAGCUGAACUUCCUGAGCCUGGGUUACAGGGGCUCAGUGAUUGCCUGCUGUUGGUGGCAGUGACGGAGGCGGUGAUGACCAUGAUGGUGGUGAUGCUGUCAGAACUGGUCCUGCUCCAGUCGGCCCUGCUGCCCACCAGAGAGGGAAUAACCCGCCGGGACCUGGAAGCGUGUAUGAACCAGACAAGGCCUCUGCUGGUUCCCUUCCUAGGAAGCGUGAUUUCUUGACACUUGUUCUCAGAGAGCAGAGGUGCGGGGCGGGCAGAGGGGCUUCACAGCCAAGGGGAAGAAGGACACUGGCAUUUCUCGUGGGUUUCCCUUGUAGUUGGAAACGUGGCCAGUCAAUGAGGGGCCUCCCUCAGCCUUGGGGGUCUGGUGAGGAGCACCCCCGCCGUGUGAGCCUGGCCAUGUCAGCAGGCUGGUCCCUUCUUCCAGAGGUGGAGGCCCUCAGAGAAGCCUGCCCCCUGGCAGGCUUCAGGGACCCAAGGCUUCCCAGCUGGGCAGGAUGGCACUCUCCUCCUUGCUCCCUGACACCAGCUUGCGUUGCUCCAUUUGCAGUAGAUUUUGCAUUCCCUCCAGUGAAUAGGCGCUUUCUGUGUGCUCUGUUCCAGCAUCCUUCCCUCAGGAAAGUCCUUCCUGACCCUGUAGUCUCAUUGGGUCCUCUUGUCAGAGAUGCUCAUGGAACCCAGGCCUUUCUCUUCAGAGCACAUGUCUCAUUGGUAGUUAGAAAUUGAUGGCAUGGAGUAAUUAAGUAGUCACAGCCUGUCUCCCCCACUGUUCUUUUUACUGUUGUAUUUGCAGGAACCACCCUGGUGCCCAGCACAUAGUGGGCACGUAAUGAGUAGUAUUUGGGUAAAUAAAUAAUGAACCAUGUCUGAUUCAUCUUCGUAUCAAUUCCCCAAAGCCUUGCCCAGAAUCACACAUCUAGUCUGAACUCUGUAAAUAAACUUCUGUUGAAGAAUGAGCCCCCUGAGUUUCCGUGGGUUUUUUUUUGUUUGUUUUGUUUUGUUUUUGCUGUGCCUGUGGCAUACAGUUCCCAGGCCAGGGAUUGAGCCUGUGCCAGAGCAGCUACCCAAGCCACAGCAGUGACAAUACCAGAUCCUUAACCGACUGAGCCACCAGGGAACUCCGAGUUCCAGUUCUUGUAACCCAGACUUGAAACCCUGAACACUUGUACUCAGUGGCUUUGAGAAGCCCUGAUCAGUUGGGAAAAUAAAUGCAAAAUUAAAACCAAGUACCACAUGCUAGAAGCAUAUCACUGAAUGUGAUCUAAGAAGCAGGGUCUAAUUAGGGAAUUUGUAAUAUGUUUAGUUCUCCAGGAAAGGAAUCCUCUUUUAACUUGCACAGCCCUUGUUUGGGGUUGCUCUGGUCUCCCUUGCUGGAUCUUUUUCAGGAAUCGCUGGUCAGUAAAAGUGGGGGCUGCCUUUGCUUGAGUUGGGACCCAAUGGUUAGAUAGGAAAACAGUUCAUUUAUUUUGUUUGGAGCCAGCUUUGAUUCUUUGGUUCUAGAGAUGAAAGGCCAAGCACGUAGAGGAAAUGGCCAUGGACUUGGAAGGCCCAAGAUUUUUGGACUCUUCCCUGCUUUUUUCUGUCAUACCCCAGACCAGUUCACAGCAAGACCUGUUGGUUCUGCUUUCCAGUAUUUUCGGAGCCCAAUGCUUCCUCAGUUCCCCGCUCCUGCCACAAGCCAGGUCUGAGCCACCUUCAUUUUUACCUGGACUGCUACACUCCUCAUUGGUCACCUGCCUUCCUCGUCCAUCCUUGCCCCAAGGUCCGUUCUCGGCGCCCCAGCCAGGAUGAUCUUUUUAAAAUGGAAGUCAAGUUGUGUGACUGGCAAAACCUUCCCGUGGUUCCCCAGAGUAAAAGCCAAAGCCCUUCCGUGGCUCAGAGGCUCUGCAUGGCUGACCUCCUCUCGUCCUCACUCUACCCCGACUUACCGGCAUCCUUUCCAUGCAUUGAGCACCCCAAGCACACUCCCGUCCUUGGGUCUUCCCAGUGGCCAGUCCCUCUUCCCCAGUCACCACAUGGCCAACCCCUCACCCUCCAUUGUUAGCCCAGAGGCACCAACUCUGAUCCCCUUAUUUAAAAUUGCAGCCCAGAACUCCUCCCUUGGCCCAGCAUUCCGAUUGCCCACUGCCCUUCUCUCUCCGCCCUCCAACCCCCCACCAAACAGAUUCCUUUCUAGCAUACGGUGUAUCUUGCUAAUUUAUUACCCCAACACUGCUGCCACUUGAGUAUCAUCGUCGUGAGGACAGAGAUGUAUCCCAGUUGUCUGAUACCUAGAAGGAGCUCAGUAAAUGUUUUGUCAGAUGAAUGACUGACUAACUUUCUCCUGACUUGGGUCUUGUGCCUCAAUGGGACAGAUAGAAAGUUUAAGUUAAACUUGGGGGCUCCACUGGCUGUUGGAAAGGAAAGAGAUGUAUCAGUGAGGCUUGAGUUGUUUCAGACCCACUUGUCCUCCUGUCCUCAGUAAAUAGUCGGGGACACAGAAUCAUCCUCUGGGCAGGUCCUGGGGCUCUGGCAGGUGUUUCUUGCAAGUUGAGCGCCUCCUGCAGGUCCCCAGGUCAAGGUCACUUGGUCUCGCUCAUCCCUGAGGCUGAGCAUCUUCCCGCAGGGUCAGUUGGACCAGUUGGUAACUUAAAACAACUUUUACCUUCAUACUAACAUACAUACCUGUGUAUGAAGUACACAGACGUAUUUUGGAGUGAUAUGCAUUUGAUGCCUGUGAAUAUAACAUUCAUGCGAAUUCGUAAGAAAGAAUAAAAAACGUCAAUCAGAGACAUUUGAGCCUGCAGAGAAUGUCCCCCCUCUUCUGGGUUCAUGCUCACCCAAGGAAGCCGAGACGCAGUGGACAGCAGUGGAAAUCUUGGGGAUUUGGCAUUGCCCACCAGUGGCUUUGAGGUUGUCCAUCCAAAGCUGAGCCCAAGUCAGGAGAAAGUUGUUUAUCUGACAAGUAUUGACUUGACACAUAGUAGGCUUUCAAGAAAUAUCUGUUAAAUGAAUAAAAGAAUGAUUUAAGAUCAGUCGUUACAUUUUAUCCGAGUACAAUGACAGGGCAGUUCCUCCCUUGUCUAAGCAACCUCAGGAUCGGCGUUUCCUGAGAAAUAAUACUUCACAUUUGCUGAAUAUUUCCCCGGGCUGGGCAAAUAUUGGGGGUGCUGGAAUCAGAGUCAUGUGUGGGGUGUGAUCUUUAUCCUGGAGAAGCGCACAAUCGCGGGGGGGGUGGGGACACAGGCCCUCCAGGAACUGUGGCCCCUGCCAGUGGGGUUGGCGAAAGGCGCUGGUAGUGGUGUGUUAGCCGCGUAGGCAGAACAAUGAACGGAGACUAAUCCAGUCGGGUGGGGGGAGGGGAGAGUCAUUGAGUCUCCAGGGAGGAAGCAAUUUUUGCGUUGCAGUGGGGGAGGGCAAAGGCAAGAUCCUAAUUAUACCGCUGCAGCAAUGUGCUGCCCUAGGUCAGGCCCGGCCCGACUGGCCGACGCGCCAUCUUGGAGGUGCCCUCUCCAAGAUGGUGGCCCCUGCAUCCUCCCAGAGGCCCUGAACCCCCACAGUCGCAGUGGCCGCUCGGCCUCCCUGAGCCUCUGGCUCUGCUCGCUUAUCGCAGAAAGGCAUUUCAUUCUUCAAGAUCAGGCAGCCAGGACCCAAGGAGCUGUUUUCCUCCAUUGUGCAAGCAUGACAAAUCAUUAAUUUUUGAUUGAUUUGCUUAGAAUUAUGGGCGCCCCAGCAUUCUUUCCGCCGCUGAACAGCUGUAUAACAAAUGAAUAUAUCAGUGUGCACAAAAGAUUGGCGAUCUAAGAGAAGCAAUUACAUUGGCCACCCUCCCCCACCCUCGCCCCUUCCCGGGCAAUGAAGGGAGGAAAUUUUUACCAGAAAUUCCUC